rnacentral:rRNA from 1 species
GAUGAACGCUGGCGGCGUGCCUAAUACAUGCAAGUCGAGCGAAGCGGGGACGGGUGAUUAACACGUGGAUAACCUCCUAUAAGACUGGGAUAACUUCGGGAAACCGGAGCUAAACCCGUUACUUAUAGAUGGAUCCGCCGUGCAUUAGCUAGUUGGUAAGUUAACGGCUUACCAAGGCAACGAUGCAUAGCCGACCUGCGAGGGUGAUCGUCCACACUGGAACUGAGACACGGUCCAGACUCCUACGGGAGGCAGCAGUAGGGAAUCUUCCGCAAUGGGCGAAAGCCUGACGGAGCAACGCCGCGUGAGUGAUGAAGGUCUUCGGAUCGUAAAACUCUGUUAUUAGGGAAGCGGUACCUAAACAGAAAGCAACGGCUAACUACGUGCCAGCAGCCGCGGUAAUAC